rnacentral:rRNA from 1 species
GACGAACGCUGGCGGCGUGCUUAACACAUGCAAGUCGAACGGAGUGCCCAAGAAAGAGGCUUCGGCCAAUGGACUGGGUUACUUAGUGGCGGACUGGUGAGUAACGCGUGAGGAACCUGCCUUUCAGAGGGGGACAACAGUUGGAAACGACUGCUAAUACCGCAUGAUAUCAUUGAGCGGCAUCGUUUGAUGAUCAAAGAUUUUAUCGCUGAAAGAUGGCCUCGCGUCUGAUUAGCUAGUUGGUGGGGUAACGGCCCACCAAGGCGACGAUCAGUAGCCGGACUGAGAGGUUGACCGGCCACAUUGGGACUGAGAUACGGCCCAG